CCCAUAAAAUUAGCAAAACAAAAAUUCUAGAAAGAAAUAAAAAAUAAAACAUAGAAAUAAGAAAGUGAAAAGGACAGUCCUUCUAGAUCCUUCGGUUGCAUCUCCACCACGACACCUCUUCCAUCAAUGAGCCAUGGAGCUCCACAGAUCAAUCUUGAGCUCCUAGCUGGGACCUCUCGAUCGUAGAUCAACAACUCUCUUCCAUCGUCAUUGAUGAGCUCCGACCAGAACUAUUGGAGAUCAGCUGACAUCUCCUUCAUUUUAGCUGCUACCAAGGUUAGUCACAAGGAUUUUGAUGGAUAAUGUUUGUCAUAUUUCAUGAGGUCCUCGGCACGCAAACUCGACUCUGGAGAUCGAAAUCUAUGGAAAUCGCCUCCCAAUCUAAGAAGCAUUGUUUUUGGGUGCCAUUUAAACUCUAUCCAUAUCACAAUCAACUCUAAAUUCUUUUUGAGCUCAACAAAAAAGGAAGCUUAAAGAAGCUCAAUUUUAAACACAUUUUGCUGCUGAAAUGUGCUUCAGCAUAUUCAGGCGACUGUUGAGAAACCUCAGUUAGAAGAUUCAUGAUUGUUCAAAUUCAAGAGUGGACCAGUUAUUUCAGGCUUUCGUGAAUUCCUCUCAGUUCUUAGUCCUUUUAUUUCAGAUUCAGACAUACUUCUUUUAUUUAUUGCUUUUGGGAUUGCAUCCCCUUAUUCUAGACUUUUAGAUAAAAGGUUCUAGGGAGGUAAUUUUCGCAAGUUCUUCAUAACGUUAUAUGAGUUUAUGGGAAUUCAGCGUUUAAACUAUA